rnacentral:SRP_RNA from 1 species
CGGCGAGCUAGGCGGGGGGUUAGCGGUCCCCUGUACCGGAAAUCCGCUAUACGCUGGGCUGAAGCUCGGGGAAGGCGCUGGAACCCCGCGUCGACCUAACUUUCGACGAGGAAGUCCCGUCCCGCAGGGUCGGCGGCGGUAGGGCCUCGGUCGUAAGGUCGGGGAGAACUGCCCUCACCUGUCGAACCCGGCCAGGGGCGGAAGUCAGCAACCGUGGGCAGGACGUGCGACGCUUGCGGACAACGGGACGGAGAUCGGGGUUAGCAAUCGCCGUGGGGGGAAGGCGUCAACUUCGGGCGCGCUCGCCG